UACACCUGUUGUAUUCAGCAUUUCACUGUGAGGUCUACUACACCUGUUGUAUUCAGCAUUUCACUGUGAGGUCUACUACACCUGCUGUAUUCAGCAUUUCACUGUGAGGUCUACGUAGACCUGUUGUAUUCGGCGCAUGUGACUAAUACGAUUUGAUUUGACACCAAGGAAUUUGAAGCUCUCGACUCCACCACAGCCCUAUCGAUGUGGAUGAGGAUGUGCUCUGUGACCGGGCUUCCCACUGACGCCAUACAUCAAGGCUGUUGGUUAUUUGUUGAUUCAACCCCAAAUGAACUCUUACUAGGAACUGGUUCUUCAUUCAACCCCCAGGCUGGCAGACUGCUGCGGCUCAGGUUUCUCACCAUAGUGUAUACACAAUGGAAUAAACGACAUGGACCUCUAAAUACAUGUGUAUUAUAAUACACUGAGUGGACAAAACAUUAAAAACGCCUGCUCUUUCUAUGACCAAAGACUGAACAGGUGAAUCCAGGUGAAAGCUAUAAUCCCUUAUUGAUGUCACUUGUUAAAUCCACUUCAAUCAGUGUAGAUGAAAGGGGAGGUGACAGGUUAAAGAAGGAUUUUUAAGCCUUGAGACAAUUGAGACAUGGAUUGUGUCUGUGUGUCAUUCAGAGGGUGAAUGGGCAAGACUUUAGCCCCUUUGAACGGGAAUGGUAGUAGGUGCCAGGUGCACCAGUUUGUGUCAAGAACUGCAACGCUGCUGGGUUUGUCAUACAGUUUCUCCAUGUGUAUCCAGAAUGGUCCACAACCCAAAGGACAUCCAGGCAACUUCGCACAAUUGUGGGAAGCGCUGGAGUCAAUAUGGGACAGCAUCCCUGUGAAAGGCUUUCAACACCUUGUAGAGUCCAUAUCCCGACGAAUUGAGGCUGUUCUGAGGGCAAAAGGGGGUUCAACUCAAUAUUAGGACGGUGUUUUCAAAGUUUUGUACACUCAUUGUACAGUGCAUGGUAUCGAUAGGUCUCACCAGGUCUGUGAGUGCUGUUAGCUAACUAACAAAGUCCUGGUGGAACGUUGGAUGGUCUAUUUCCAUGGUGACAGUGAUAACCUCUGACCCCUGGUCUCUUAUCAGAGCCAUCUGAUUGGACAAUCUCAGGGCUAAAUCACGAUGCUGUAAGCUCCAUUCACACCAUUGUGAUCUUGUUUGUUCAAUUUGUGUUGAGCUGAAUGAAACCCUGAUUGGACCAGGUCAUAUAGAGGUGAACCCUGAUUGGACCAGGUCAUAUAGAGGUGAACCCUGACUGGACCAUGUCAUAUAGAGGUGAACCCUGAUUGGACCAGGUCAUAUAGAGGUGAACCCUGAUUGGACCAGGUCAUAUAGAGGUGAACCCUGAUUGGACCAGGUCAUAUAGAGGUGAACCCUGAUUGGACCAGGUCAUAUAGAGGUGAACCCUGAUUGGACCAGGUCAUAUAGAGGUGAACCCUGACUGGACCAGGUCAUAUAGAGGUGAACCCUGAUUGGACCAGGUCAUAUAGAGGUGAACCCUGACUGGACCAGGUCAUAUAGAGGUGAACCCUGAUUGGACCAGGUCAUAUAGCCUAGAGGUGAACCCUGAUUGGACCAGGUCAUAUAGAGGUGAACCCUGAUUGGACCAGGUCGUAUAGAGGUGAACCCUGACUGGACCAGGUCAUAUAGAGGUGAACCCUGAUUGGACCAGGUCAUAUAGAGGUGAACCCUGAUUGGACCAGGUCAUAUAGAGGUGAACCCUGAUUGGACCAGGUCAUAUAGAGGUGAACCCUGAUUGGACCACGUCAUAUAGCCCAUUCAGAUCUGGUGAUAGAAAUAGAACACGUAGAGCUGUAAUGAUUCCAUGUUCUACAUGACAUGCUGUCAUUUCUAUUCCACAUAAUCUAUGUCUACGUCCCAAAAUGACACCCUAUUCCAUAAAUAGUGCACUAUAUAGGGAGCAGAGUCCCAUUUGGGAAGCGGGCUGUUUGUUAAGGUUCUGUGGGACGCUCCAGGGGUAGUGGAGCUGUGGAGUGAAGGACGAGGAUAUGAGCUAGGACUAUCAGAAUGUAGGAAUUUCCCUCAGGAUGAAACCAUUUCCUGUUCUGUUCAGCCUGCACGUUGUGUGUCAUCAAGUCCUCCAGACUCUCUCCCUCAGGGCUACACACACACACACACACACACACACACACACACACACA